CGAAGUAAUGAUGCAAAGUACUGCAUCCAUAAUUCCUCAUCAGCAAAAUUACCAUCCUUAGUUGACCAUCAGGGAGAUACUGAACAGAGCAAAGCAAGAUGGUGGAAGGAUAGAGGAUUGCACCAAGAGAGGUACCUGCAAAGAGUCCUGAUUCUCAGAAUGACUGACAGGGGUAUAGUCAUGAAGCGAAGAGCUGUGCAGAAUACUCAUAGAUGCUGAACUCACCAUGGAAGUACCAUGCCGCCUACUGUUGCCUUCAUGGGUAUCUAUAAACAAGUAACAAAAUAAAUAUAAUUGCUACAGUUCAUCUAGCUCUAGACUGAAAGGAAGUAUAAAAGGAUGCUGAUGAAUACUGUUUACUCCGUGGAACAACUCAUUAAUGAUUUGUAAUGGUUCAAAUAUGAUUUUCUGUCAAAAUUGGCAUUGAAAAGUUGUCUUGCUUAAAACAAACAUGGUAAAAGUACUAAACCAUAUACUGCAGGGACAUCUUAUAUUUCAAUCUGAAUUGAAUAUCCAGAUUUACUUCAACAACCGUUCAACUGAAUUAAAACUGCUGGUAACUGCAAAAAUAAAACGCGGCUUCAAACUGGGUAGCACAGGCAUUGCCUGCAGUAUAACUGGAUAUAGAAUUGACGAGCAUUGAAAAAUCAAAAAAAAACCUUCAUCAAUAAUCAUUUCCAGAACCAAACAAAAAAAUGACUGCUGUUAUUAGUCAUUUAAAAAAAAAUAUUUUAAUUCACUUCAUCUCAGGCAAGGUUCCACUGGUGUCUCUCAGAACCCCAUCCAUUUGGCCAAUUUUUAACCUCAAACAUAUUAAUCACUGGAAGUAUGGUCAUGCUUGCUUGUCUUCAUUCCCCCACCACACACACACACUUCAGGAGGCAUGUCACUGACUAAAGACUACAAGUGUAGACCUGAAUCAAUUUUCCCUAUGCAAGACUACAGGAUAAGGAGUUAAAAUGCAUCAUUUCCUUUCUUCAGGUCUCCAAGUACUAAAUGCCAGUUCUUGGUUGACUGUGAGCAGGUGACCACCAGUACUUAUGCUGCUUUGUAACUAGCUUCCAAAAGGGAAGUAUCAGUUUUCAAAUAGAAUCUGUCCAAUGCCUCAGAGAUCAAGAGAUUUCUGUGGGGGAAUGUUGUCGCACAAAAUGAAGUAUAAAUACAGCACAUUUUAAAAAAAAUUCCCCUCUCAUUCUAUUCAGUACAGCUGCUGACUAAUACUAUUUUACUGAACUGUUUAAGGAUUGAUCUAAGAUAUUUCCUUAAGGAUCUUGGGUACUAGAAUCUAUCUUAUUAUAACAGAAAAUACCUCAGCAAACCCUUAGUGUAUGCAGUUGUCACAGUCGUUUGUGAAAGAGACAAGGAGAAGCAGAAAUGUGUUUUUAUUUAAAAAUGACUACACAUUUUAGGCUUUUAUUUUAACAUUUAGAGACAACAUUACUGUGACAAAUUAACCCCUUAUAUUUGAGUAGCUUAAAUAUUACAAUGUUAGUGUAUGCUUCAUUGUCAUCAUGUGUGAAUUGAAGGCUUCAGAAAUAAUUGGCCCAGGAGGAAUUUGCAUUUUCUCAAAUCUACAGAAAGCCUCAAGAUUAAAAACCAGUAUAUACUAUAAUUUGAGUUAACAGAAGUAGUGGAUGUAAUCAAACAUUUAAAUUUUAAAUAAAACAUGAAAAAGAA